GCCCAGGUGGCGAAAUUGGUCAGACGUACUACCUUGAGGUGGUAGCGCCCGCAAGGGCAUGGAGGUUCGAAUCCUCUCCUGGGCACAA
rnacentral:tRNA from 1 species